AAGCUUGGGAGAAUCCUCUAGAGUCUUGGCAGCGGGUGGACAGACAUGCUUUAUAAUCCAGCUGCAUCCUCGUACCUGGUGGUGUUUGAAGAGCUGGGAAUGGGGAUCCACCAACGUAAGACACAGGCUCGUCACUCAGCCAGGAAAGAAAUCGUGGAACAGCAUAGAAGUUCCCCCAACUGGCAGAGGCAAAGCACCAGAGGCACUUCCCUCUGGACAGAUCCUGAGGAGAUACUGGAGAAAGAGGACAAAAUGCAGAUAUGAGAUUGUGAUUGGAGGAGCCCAAUAGAGAAGAGAAGAUAGCAGCAGAAGCAGAAUGAUUAGAGGUGUGGCUGAAGCUGUAACCUGAAUAUGGAUACAAAUGAAGAGACUGUCCAUUAGCUAUCCUGAUAUUCGGAGAUAGUCAAGUACCCUUGUGUUCUGAGAUAAUUCAUCACCCUGAUGUUCCAAGGCCGUCCAGCACCCAGAUGUUCAUUAAUCCAUCACCCUGAUGUUCCAAGGUUGUCCAGCACCCAGAUGUUCAUGCUAGAUGUUCAUGCUACUCAACCACAUGUGUGACAUCUUGAUCUUUCCUCAAGCAAGGAAGUCAUCAAGAGAUUUAAUAUCCUUUGUGGGUUCAAUAACAGUGAUCAAGUUGUCUUAAAUUUUAAAUCUGCAUAGUGCUUUAUUGAGGGUUUUUUUGUUUGUUUUAAGUAGAAUUCAGUGUUAAGUACACUUAAAAAUUAUCUAUAAUAAUGGUAACUGCAGUUAAAGGACUAUCUAUGCAUGCUUAUCUGGAACCAUGUAUAGACAUCAAAAGCUUUAUUUGUCAGAGGGAUCUCCAAGACAUAUUUGUAUUCAUUUGUAAAGUGUUGUGGUGUGCAUACUGUCUUCAGUAAUCUUAUAGGUGUGUGUGGCAUGGGAGAUGAUUGUGGUAAGAUUUACCUCAUGCAAGAAAAAACUAAAAAUAAACUGUAAUGUCUCCAGUCAGCUGACAGUUAGUCCACCAGGUUCAAAGUCAUUGUAUGUGUGGCAAGAUUUAUUUCACACAAGAAAAGAAAGAAUAAAUGGCAGGGCCUCCAGUCAGUUGACAGUUAGUGCAUCAAGUUCAUCAAAGCCAUUUUGUAAAGAUGGUUAUCAGAAAUAUAUGCAAGAUGCUAUGUUCUCUCCGAUAUAUUAAGGAGUUUGGAGCAGAUUGAAUUGUUUAUGGGUUAUGGAAUAAAAGGAAGAAGGAUAGAAUGCCAAGGGAGGAAUGAUGAUUUGAUGUGAUGCACCCAGUGCACAAAAGGUAAUUCUUAGAUGAAACUGCUAACACUUGUGGCAUUUUGUUUACCAUAUGGAAUAUGGAUAGAUAUAAAUAUGCCAUAGUGACAGCUGCAUGAGGGUGGAGUUGCACAAAUUAAGUUCAUUCAUUAGUAUCAUCAUCAUCAAGCACACACUGCCUGAUGCUCAACAAAACACUGCAAAAUUGCUGACAGAUCAGUACAUUAAUGUAUGCGGGCAUUAAUUCUUGAGAAGUUAUCUUGAUGUCUUGUUUGUUGUAAUUGCAGCUAUUUCUCUAAGGAAAGAGCUCACAACUGAGACCAUUUAUGCACCACACACUGGAACAGCAAGGUCACAACCCCUUGGGUUAAAUCCCAUACCUACUUGCUGCUAGGUGAACAGGGUUACACAUUAAGAGGCUUGACCCUUUUUUUUUUUUUUUUUGCCUCGCCACUCCCAGGAAUCAUAUCCAGUCCUUGGUUGUGAACCUAGUGUGCUAACCACUACACUAUACAGUGUGCAGCAGUGGUGGAGCAAGUCUGCUGUGGGUUUAGUCAGGCGUGCUCUACGUCUGACCUUUGUACACUGGAGCUGUAGAUCCUUUCUGUAGGCAUGAAUACAGAGGUUUGAGGGAAUGCUUACAAGUUUGCAUAAUUCAAGGUUUAAUAUGUACAGCAGAGCUGCAGCACAGCAAAUCCACCCCAUUCCCAUGAAUCUUAACAUUUCCUUUAUGGCAAUGAGAAGUAAUUUAUUUCCCCAUUUAUCAUCCUUGUUCCAAGGACACUCCCAUUUAUCUGAUGAAAUAGUUACUAACAAAAUUACUAACAAAAUUAAUGUUUAUUUGCUUGUGAUGUAACAUAACCUAGUUUUGUACUCAUUUGUAUCUAUAGAUAGCAAAACUUUUAACUGGAAACCAGGUAAUGUGCAAGGUGAGACCAGAACAGAAGUGGAAUACUGAAUUGAGAUUGCAAGCCAGAUUGUACCAAUGCAAAGUGUUUGAAAAGGAUAAAAUAAUAUCACCUAAGAAAGUAGCUGAAACAUUAUACCAUGUUGUAAUCUUCUAGACUAGUAGUAUAGAUGUAGAAAAAAAUCACUAACAAUUGCUAGAAGACUUUUAUAUUCUAGGACUUAAAUCUGCUUGUGUCCCACCAGAUAGGAGAAGAGAUACUAAUAAUACAAUGGUGUAAAUCCUCCCCAAACACUGUUUAGUGUACAUCUGGUAGGAGGGAAUAUGGAGCAGGAGAAUUCACUAGUUAUCCUUGAGUCAUGCAGUGGGAGGGUUUGUAAGUUUUUGGCUCUCUCAUCCUGCCCCUUCUCUCCCUCUGCACCCAGUUGCCUUCUUGUUUUGCCACUGGCCUAGUGACAAGGCAAGAAAAGGAAAAUAUGGGUUUUCAUCCAUAAUGUAAGCCUGUACAAAGCAGAGAAACCUAUACAAGAUCUAGCUAGAAUUGAUGUGAGUGAAAGAAUUACAGUGAUGGACCAAACAAUUUUGUGAUUGUGGAAAUGUGGCAACAUCACAACACUAAAAUCUAGAAAGCCUUUGUUUCAAAAGUGGCAAGUAGGCAUUCAUUUGCCUCCUUGUAAAUUCAAAAGGUUUGGGUUCCAGGAUGACUUUGGUGCUGUGGUGUUGCUGUCUUCACAAACAAUCACCCCAACAAUUUGGGUAUAUCCUUUGUAGGUUUCUCUGCUUCGUACAGGUCUAUUAUUAAAAAAAAAUUAUACUUUGCGCAUGCAUACAUUUUGAAAGUUAAAUCAUCUUUCAAUAGAACCUCAAACUCUCAUCAGCUUUUAUACUAAGAAAAUAUAAUCUAGGUGUCCAAAUUCCUUUCAUGCCUUCCAAUAUGAACCCACUGCAUGUGAGGGGUAGAGGGUAGCAGGAAGCUUAGUGGGUCAGAAUACGUUAUCUAUUGAGUGACUAUACUAAAAGUGAGUGUCACUCUUCUUGAUUCUGACUUGCUAGGCAUCCUGCUUCCCUCUACUAUCCCAGCAAAUAACAUGCAGUGUGUCUGUACGCUUAGUGAUCUAUUAUUCUACCCUAAUCAGUGCAGUGUCAAACCUGUGCUGCUUCCCAAGAGGGUCCUGCCAAAGAGAUCCAGUCAUUGCCUUUAUAUUCACAGCAUGUUUAUGAUAUGAACACAUUUGCCUAUAACAUUUAUAUGAUGAGAACCAAGCCUCUCUGGCAGGACACCAACAGGAAACAAGUCCAACAAAACAAUCUGGAAGAUGUUCACUGGAAAAGCAGAUAAGCAGCUUUUACUUAGUUCUAAGUAAUAUGAAAGUCUCGUCCUUGUUCUUUCCUCUUCUUUACACAAGUAUUCAUAACUUGUUAAUUGUUUACCUGGAGUAUAUUCAUCUCAGCAAUCUGUAAAAAAAGACAAAUGAAUACUACUAGCAUCUAAAAAAAUUUUCAAUUAAAAUUUCUUCAAUAUUCAUAAACCCUCUUCAGUGUGUUCAAUCAUAUGACAACUUUCUUGUAUACACAUUGUGAAAACUAAUACUAUUCAUUGAAAUUGUAACAAUACAUACUUUUGAAAAAUAUUAAUAUAAUAAAUACUUUGAAAAAUAUUAAUAUAUUAAUAAAUGAAAAAUAAUAUAUUAAUUACUGUUUCAAAGAAUGAAUUCAAUGGCUGUUUUGAAUUUAUAGGAGAAAAGUUAUAAAAACAAUACGCUGUUGUUAGUAAAGUAAUGAAAAGAUAGUACAGUAUCGUUACAAAAUAUUUUUAAAACAAGACAAACAAAAUAGGUGAUGGGUAAGAAUAUGUAAACCAAAAAUCAGUUUGGAUGGAGACUGUCCACUGUUGUCGAGGCAGAACUUGGGUGACACUGGUAGUUGUCUUUGCAGCGUCCCCUCUCAGCUGGAGUGUCAGACCGAAAAUUUCGCUUCCCCUUUCUGUAAAGCAAGUAAAGAACAUUAAAAACCGUAUAAAACACACGCAGAGAGAGAGAGGG
rnacentral:lncRNA from 1 species